rnacentral:rRNA from 1 species
UGCCAGCCGCCGCGGUAAUACGGAGGGUGCAAGCGUUAAUCGGAAUUACUGGGCGUAAAGAGUACGUAGGCGGCUUUUCAAGUCGGAUGUGAAAGCCCUGAGCUUAACUCAGGAACUGCAUUCGAUACUGGAUCGCUAGAGUAUAUUAGAGGAUAGUGGAAUUUCAAGUGUAGCGGUGAAAUGCGUAGAUAUUCGGAGGAACACUAAUUGCGAAGGCAGUUCACUGGACCGUGAUCGACGCUGAGGAGCGAAAGCUAGGGGAGCAAACAGGAUUAGAUA